UGGUUUCUCCACCAUGUGCCUCUUUGUCAGGGGAGAGAAUGGUUGAGAUUGAUAAGAAGUUGUCCUGGGCCCUGCUGGAGUUUCAGUGCUGAAGAAGAUGGAUGGUUCUGCUGCUCCCAUGCUGCUGCCUGGGAUCCUGAUCCAAGCCACAGCAUUCCCAUCAGCUCUGACCUCUCAAAGCUGUCAGGAGUGAUGAAUUUGUGCCCUGCCAGCUUAAAUGGAGGGUGGUUUUUUUGUCCACUGGGUACAGGGCAUGAAACUGGAAUGGGUUCUGGAACUUGUUGCAUGUUUGAUGCAGUUGGAUGCUUUUGUCUGCAGGGGCCGCAUUCCCUGCCUGGCA